UAGCGAAAUUCCUUGUCGGGUAAGUUCCGACCCGCACGAAAGGCGUAACGAUUUGGGCACUGUCUCAACAACAGACUCGGUGAAAUUGUAAUUCCGGUGAAGAUGCCGGAUACCUGCGACAGGACGGCAAGACCCCAUGGAGCUUUACUGUAGCUUGACAUUGGGUCUUGGUACUACAUGUACAGGAUAGGUGGGAGGCUUUGAAACCAGGACGCCAGUUUUGGCGGAGCCAUCCUUGGGAUACCACCCUUGUAGUACUGGGACUCUAACCAUAGGCCAUGAAUCUGGUCUUGGGACACUGUCAGGUGGGCAGUUUGACUGGGGCGGUCGCCUCCCAAAAGG
rnacentral:rRNA from 1 species